rnacentral:rRNA from 1 species
GACGAACGCUGGCGGCGUGCCUAACACAUGCAAGUCGAACGGGACGUCCCUGCCUUUGUGGGGACCUCGAGUUGCGACCUGGUGAGCUACCCUUGAGUUCCCUGCCACUGACCUUGGGGUAUCUUCAUGCCACAUGGGCUCAUACGGGAAAGGAGUUACUGCUUCUUGGUGGGGGCUCGAAAGAUUCGGCGGUUGGUGAUGGACUCGCGGCUUAUCAGCUUGUUGGUGGGGUAGUGUCUUACCAUGGCUUGGACGGGUAGCCCGCCUGCGAGGGUGACCGGCCACAUUGGAAUUGAAAUGAGACCCAGACUCCUACGGGAGGCAGCGGUGGGGAAGAUUGCACAAUGGGCGGAAGCCUGAUGCAGCAACGCCGCGUGCGGGAUGACGGGCUGCGGUUUGUGAUCCGCUGUCGCCUUUGACGAAGCGUUAGUGACGGUAAUGGGUAAAUAAGCACCGGCUAACUACGUG